AGAUUGAACGCUGGCGGCAUGCUUUACACAUGCAAGUCGAACGGUAACAGGCCGCAAGGUGCUGACGAGUGGCGAACGGGUGAGUAAUGUAUCGGAACGUGCCCAGUCGUGGGGGAUAACGCAGCGAAAGCUGCGCUAAUACCGCAUACGAUCUAUGGAUGAAAGCGGGGGACCGUAAGGCCUCGCGCGAUUGGAGCGGCCGAUAUCAGAUUAGGUAGUUGGUGGGGUAAAGGCUCACCAAGCCAACGAUCUGUAGCUGGUCUGAGAGGACGACCAGCCACACUGGGACUGAGACACGGCCCAGACUCCUACGGGAGCAGCAGUGGGAUUUGGACAAUGGCGCAAGCCUGACUCCAG
rnacentral:rRNA from 1 species